AUAAAGAAGGACACAUUUGAAAGCUAUUUAUUAUCAACUGAUUCACAGAGCAAUCCAUAUCGUUUCUACCAUGUGGAAAUAUUCUACCGUCUCAACAAAGCUGGUGAGAGUUCUGGUAAUCGUUUUCCUUUAUGGGCCUAUUCCAUUAAUAAGUGCUUCGGGUUUAUGCUUCGUUUUGGAAACAAACCAGACGUUGCAACAAUAUUGCGAAUGGAGCAACUGGUUUCCAUGGAAUUGUGUAAUUUGCGGCCUAGGCGUACCCGGAAAUCUCUCCCUGGCCUCCCGGACACGAAGCAUCUGCUGUGACAAGAGACUUCCACCGGAAACCUGCGGCACAUCGUGUAACGUAACACAAAAUGACGUCAAAGAAACGGGCAUAUGUGAAACUGAAUGCCCACACCUAUAUAACACCACGGCAAAAGCGAGUUUGCCUAGUGCAAAAGUUGAAGCGCAGACACUACCUUCGACAACAACAGUCACCAGUAAAUCGGAUUAUAACGAGUACACUAGUCCGAGUACUACGCUUCGAAGCGAUAUUCAAACAACUUCGACGCUGCCCCUUCUGGUGCGAUCAUCUACAACAAAAGUGGUUGAAAACAGUGCUGGCCACGGGGAUUCGAGUUAUUUACGGGCGGUGGCUCAUACGCAGGGAAUGUCUUGCGAUGAUCAGUGUUGCUAUCUUGGGUCUUGGAUGUUGUACAGUAGGGGAAGUUUAAGAUUGUGUCUGUUUAUUCUAAUGUCCUUCUAUGUAACCAUAGCCACCACAGGGUUUCUGGCCACCCUGCGUAUAGUCAGGGUUUACAAUAACCGGAAGUCACGUGUGCAUACAAGCGCAAAACCGCCAUUCAACGACAGUGUGUGAUAAAACAUUAACACGAUAGAAAAACACGGUAGAAAAACGAUCUGCUUUAUUGUGUCGUUAAGGUGAAAAGGUUUAUUUUGGACCCGAAAAUUUAACUCAACAAAACACUUUAAAGCCACACACUUUGCCUCUGACCUUGAAAUGAAAUACAUGUUAAUCAAUACAUAUACCGGUAGAUGCAAUUUGAAAGUGUGCAUAAUUGUCAUUAAAUCUAUUACCUAGUUUCCAAGUAAUUAAUUAUUAUUCAAACGGUACCGCUUUUAAAACCAAAAGUAGGAUUUCUAUACGUAUACGUCCUUUUCGACAAACGCGAUUAUUUUUUUAAUUUUACAGCGCAAAAAGAAGGAUUUCAACCUAGUAACCACCAAAUAUUUUCUAAUUGGCAUAGAUAAAAUUAAAUCUAUAGCCUAGUUAGCAAGUAAUUUAUUAUUUUUCAAACGAUACCGCUUUUAAAACCGUAACUAGGAUUUCUAGACGUAAACGUCCAUUUCGACAAACGCUAUUGUUUUUAAGUUUUACAGCGCAAAAAGGACGGAUUUCUACUUUGUAACCACCAGAUAUAUUCUUAAUGGCAUAGAUAAAACAUGUUUCUUAUUUAUACUUUAAUUUACUAUGCCAAAUAAGUUGUGUGGGUUUAAUGACCGUACUAGGACUGUUGCUAUACUGGUAACAACUUGACUCUCCGUUACGAAUGCUAUGUAAUUGCUGUUGUUUGUCUGUUUUCGUUUAUUAGAAUUUCUUUGUGUGUUUGCCUCAUGUUUAAGAACAGAUAAAACAUGUAUAAUGGUUUUAAGAACGACCAAAUAACACGCUCCGUCACAAUCAAUACAAGUUCAGUUUUUAGUAUUUAUGAUAGAGCGUUGGUGAAGUUCAUGACGUUAUGAUUGAUAGCCUGUUAAUUUUGUUGCGAUGGCAAGGGGAUCAAUCUGCGUAAUCUGUAUGCCUUCCAUUGAUAUAUAUAAGUGUGUUUGUACUCUUGAUAAUUUAUUUUUUGAACGUGACCCAACGAAUGAAUGGAUAAAAUCGUCGCAAUUCAA